rnacentral:lncRNA from 1 species
AAAAAAGGAUCCAAAAACCCAAAAGGGGGAAAUAGAAACCGCCAGACUGUAUAUAUAUACACACACACUCUUCCCCUCCCCCACUAUACCCGUUACCUGUUUCCUGCCUACAAAACCCACUGGGGGAUCUCUCAACUCAAGACCGAGCACAUUUUCACUUCCUUUCAAGCUCUGCCCUUUUCAUUUAUCCUUUUUAUCGUUUGAGUCACAUUCACUGAUCCACAGCUAAAGCAGCCAAUUUUCUUUCUGCUACUCUCUGUAAGUCUCUCUCUCUCUCUCUCUCUCUCUCUCUCUCUCUCUCUCCCGCACACACAAUGCUGUUCUUCUGUGAGAACAUGGUUGAUGUUGGAUUGGGUUUCUGUUUUCUUCUUUCUGAGGAAGCUAGGAACAGGACAAUGAUUUAACUGACUAGAAGGUAUGGCAGUGACAAUGGCCUCUGUAAUGGUCCAUUCUGACCGAACCCAUAACCCCCUUAUGCUCCUUUGUCUUUCUGAGAUUUGAGUAGUAGGUAUGGCAGGACAACGAUUUGACUUAUUCUUUUUAUUUGAAGUCUUGUUUUGAUUUGUUUUUUUUCGUGUUUUUAUGUGGGCAUGUUUGAAUCUUUGUGCAAUGUGAAAUAAGUUGAAAAUACAUGGUGAUAGAGUUCCACAUGAUCAAAAAGAGAAUACAAUAAACUAAGCAGAACUAGGAUUUAAAAAUUUGUUCGUGGGGGGCGAUUGAGCGUACUAUAUGAAUUUCCUUGGUGAUAAUUAUUAGCUCUUAGUAUAUAUUAAUGGGUUUUACAUAAUCUGGGGGGCGCAGGACCCCAUCAUAUGUCUAGCUGUAGUUCCUGAACAAGGACAAUAUCAAAUACUUCUAUACUUCUCUUUUCUUGCAUUUUCUCAGCGACCAAACAGAGAAUGGCUAGAACAAAUGAUAAGCAUCGUGUAAUUUCUCUAUUUUGUUGGUUUAUCAGAGUAAAAGAGGAGCUUGGAUCUGGACGAGUUAGAAUGGUUUGGGUUUCAUUACCAGUCGUGGGUAUGUUGUUGGUUUGGUGGUGGGUAGGUUUCAGUGCGGUGAAUGCAGAUUACAUCAAGUACAAAGAUGCUAAUCAACCAGUGGCUUCUCGAGUUGGAGAUCUUCUUAGCAGAAUGACUCUUGAAGAGAAAAUUGGUCAGAUGGUACAGAUUGAUCGCAGUGUUGCCAAUGUUGAUACUAUGAGAACUCACUCCAUUGGUAAUGUGUAUAUACAUACAUACAUAUAUUAUAUAUAUAUGUGUGUGUGUGUGUGUGUGUGUGUGUGUGUGUGUGUAUGUUUAUAUCAAAUAUGUCUAAAUACAACCUUCGGUUGUGUUUGGUGCACAUCAACAUAAGUUCUCCAAUUUGUAGUGUCCAUGUAACUUAUGAAAUAAGUGCCUUUUGUCUGGCAUAGUCUUUCUCAUAUGUUAUCAUGCAUUUGAUUCCUGCUUUAGCUCCAAAUCAAGCCAUUAUGUGUUUCAUCUUCUUGUGGGCUUAUAGAUGCCUUUACAGAGGAGUUGAGGUGUCAAUAUUAGUCUUUAUACUUGAUCAGGAACUUUUCACUAUCAUGUGUAUAGAUAUACAAGCUAUGAUGGAACUGCAAAAGUCUUGUAGCUCAAGUGGUUAAGAGCAUUUACCCCUGUACUCAAGGUCCUUUGUGUUGAAUUUCUUGCUUGGUACAAAACCAAGGAAACAAAAGUGGAAAAUAUGACUUUGACUCUGAAAGGAGUAAGACCUGUCCUCGUAUGAGGUUGGGUCUUCUUUAUGCAGUUAAGAGGGCUUUAGUUUGUUCUCCCUUAUUCCUUUCAUUUUCCUUCGUAUUCUUUGCUGCCUUGCUGGGGAGUAAGAGAUUUUCUGUCAUGAUGUUGGGUUUUCUGCUUUGGUUUGUUGUGACUGAUUCUUUUUAUGGCCCAUUCUUUGGUUCCAUGUGCUCUCUCUCUCUCCCCCUCCCUUGCUCUUUUUAUUGUUUAAUUCUCUGAUGACCUUAAUUUAAGGAAUGCAUCAAUUCAACCAGAUAACAUAAAUCAAAUCACUAGACAUGAUUUACAGCAACCAGCAUUGCAGGAAGAGAAAUAACAUCGAAUGCAAUGAUAUGAUAAGACAAAAUGGAGUGAUGAUGUGUUUUGAUUUAUGCAGGCAGUGUAUUGAGUGGUGGUGGCAGUGCACCCCUUCCAGAAGCUAGCGCUGAGGACUGGGUUAACAUGAUUAAUGAAUUUCAGAAGGGAGCUCUAGUUAGUCGUUUGGGCAUUCCAAUGAUCUAUGGCAUCGAUGCUGUGCAUGGACACAACAAUGUCUAUAAUGCUACAAUAUUUCCGCAUAAUGUUGGGCUUGGAGCUACCAGGCAAGUAAAAGUUUCAGAUUCUAUUGCAUCAUAUUUAAAACAUGAUAGCGCAUUGUACAAUUAUUACACAAAGAAUGAGAUCUACUGCUUCACUGUCUUUUCAAUGCAAAACUACUUAACUGUCUAACUUCAACAAGGGCCAUUAGGGUCAUACUCCAGCAAGCAUUAAAAUAACAUACCACGCAUGUCAAAAUCCUUUGAGAUGAUGGGCGUUUUAUGUUUUAUUAAAUGUGUCUGCUUUCUAUUUAAUAAUUCCAGUAUACAGGGAUCCUGAAUUGGUACGAAGAAUUGGUUCUGCAACUGCUCUUGAAGCCCGAGCUACGGGGAUUCCUUAUGUAUUUGCUCCAUGCAUUGCGGUAAACAAUACAUUGCAAAAGAAAUUAUAAGUUUUCAACAUUUUCUUCUUUUAUAUGGAUGAUGAGGUCAUAUGAGUGCUUUACUAUUUUCUCGAUUGGGUGACUUCUCUGCUUAACCUGGAACUUCCUAUAUAGGUCUGUAGAGAUCCAAGAUGGGGUCGGUGUUAUGAAAGCUACAGUGAGGAUCACAAAAUUGUGCAAGAAAUGACGGAGAUUAUUCCAGGUUUACAGGGAGAUAUUCCUGCAAACUCUCGGAAAGGAGUUCCAUAUGUUGGUGGAAAGUAUGAAUUUUAUGUAAAAUAAAGUACUUUAAAUCUUUUUUUUUUUUUUUUUGGGUCUUUUCAUUCUCUCUUUCAUUUUCCUUCAUUUGAUUUUAGAAGACAUACAGUCAUUAUUAGCUAGUAGCUAGUAUCGUCCCUGAUGCUAAUUUGCUUGAUUUUGUGACUUUAAGAAAGAUAAUCUGGUAAACGUAAUAUAUGUCGUGUAUUCGUAGUUAUAGAUUCAAUUUAUCAAAUGAAUUCAGUGAUUCCUUUUUCUUUCAAAAUUUUUGGCUGGUAGUGAGUCCUGAUAAAUAAGCUAUAUAUGUAAUUUUUUAUUGUUUAAAACUAUAUGAUAAGCUUAAACCGACAUAAUGAUAAAGCUACCUUCCCUGAUCUCAUGGUUUGCCUUGCACAAUAUAUCAGUAGUGUAUCAAGGCAUUGUUACUAAAACAUUUCUCCUUAUUUUUCUUGGACUAUUGUUAAUUGGUGAAACUGUGUUUCAACUGCUGAAAUUCUAUGUUCUGUACUCACCUGUAUUCAGCCCAAUAGGAGGGAAGAGGAAACAAAAAAAGUUUGUCCUGGUUUUCUGAAUGAAUGUAUCCAUGUGCACUUAUCUAAAUGUUUUUUAAUACUAAUAUUUCAACGUUUCAGUCAUUCCUGAUGUAUUUAUUGUUUUAUUAUAUUUUAGUAAAAAGGUUGCAGCUUGUGCGAAGCACUUUGUGGGUGAUGGAGGGACAACCAGGGGCAUUAAUGAGAACAACACUGUGGUUGACCGUCACGAGUUGCUUAGCAUCCACAUGCCUGCCUAUUCUGAUUCAAUCAUCAAGGGUGUCGCAACAGUGAUGAUUUCCUACUCCAGUUGGAAUGGGGAAAAGAUGCAUGCAAACCGCGACCUAGUUACUGGCUUCCUCAAGGGCACCCUUAAGUUUAAGGUUACAAUUUCCUUUUCUUUUUCCUUUAUUUUUAUUUUUAUGUAGUAUCCAAGGUUAUUACAGUUUUUCUGGUAACUAUCUACGAUGCAAAUAAGAUGACAUGCGCAGAAAGAUUUCAAUUUGAAUUGUGUUAUUAUGUAUGUACUGAUAUUUGAUGUUAGCACAUAACUAACUUGCUCAAUGUUAACAUUCUACCAUGAGUUAUGUGAAAGGUUUCUCUCAACAUUAUGUAUUUACCACAUGUUGAGUUUUUAAGCCUUCAGUCUUAUCCGGCAGAAAAGUGUCCUUGCAUAUUGCAAAAUUAUCGGUAAUUUAAAUUGUGGGGUAUUCCCUUCUGUGACAUCUCAAACUCUUAUUCGUGACUAGUUGACUGUUUCAUAACUGUUUUUCCCUCAAUGUAUCUGCAUUUGGGUGUUUUCCUUUUUCAAAUGCUUGUCGGUCUGAUCUGUUUUUGUCACUUUUCUCAACUUGCAUAUUUUCCACAUGUUGCGUCUUAAUGCCUUCAGCAUGUCCAAUUAAAUUCAAAUUACUUGCACAUUAAUGUGGUCAGGUGUUCUUGCAUAUUGCAAAGUAGUCUGCAUGAUUCUUUACGUGCUUUCCGAUGUUGCUACUUAGCGUCUGUUGAUGGAUUCAUUGCAUUUACAUAUUUUCUCAUCUUAAUUUUAUUGUGUUUUUUGAACUUGUUUGUUGACUGCUGAACAAUUUUACCAUUACAAACUGUUGUCUUUGGAGACUGUAUUGUACCUUUCCCUGUGUUCUGCAGUAUUAACUAUUUUAUGCUAACAGCACAUGGUGUUUUGGUUGAACAUUCAGGGUUUUGUUAUAUCAGACUGGGAGGGUGUUGACAGGAUUACCUCCCCACCACAUGCAAACUACUCAUACUCCGUCCAAGCUUCAAUUCUAGCUGGACUUGAUAUGGUUAGUGGCUUAUUUUAUAAACAAACAUCUCAUAGAAAUGAAAGAAGAUAAGUCUUUCCUACACUGUAAUCAGUGCAGCAAUGAGAAACUGAAGUAUAUGAUUAUAAAACUCUGAACAUGGUUGUCUGUGAUUUGAAGAUCAUGAUCCCUUUCAAGUAUAUAGAGUUCAUUGAUGAUCUCAUCUCCCUGGUCAAAAACAACGUUGUCCCAAUGGAUCGAAUUGAUGAUGCUGUGGGAAGGAUUCUGCUUGUCAAGUUCACCAUGGGUCUUUUUGAGAACCCUUUGGCUGAUCUCAGCCUAGUCAAUGAGCUUGGAAGCCAGGUCAGUUUAUCAGAGAUUAUCAAAUAUCAGGAUUUGUGACUUUCAUAUUGUGUUUUUUUUUAUUUUUAAAUUUACAUAUAUUGGCUUGCUCUCUAGCUGGAUAAAAAUGGAGUGGAGAUUAUUAUAAAAUAAAAAAUGAUAGAGUGGUUCCUAUUACAAUUGUUUGUACUUUCAGUGGCCAGAAAUUGCCUUCCAAGUUCCAUGGUCUUUCCUUGUCAAUUGUCAAUGUUAAUAAAGAGCUUAGUAAGUUUCAUACUUUGUAAUAACUACCCUGAAUCAAUGGGCUGCUUAUUUAUUUCUAAUUUUAACUUUCCUAGGCUCAUAGAGACUUGGCAAGGGAAGCAGUCAGAAAAUCACUUGUGCUUCUGAAGAACGGAAAAAACGGAACAAAUCCAAAUCCGGUCAUACCUCUUCCCAAGAAGGUGUCCAAAAUCCUAGUUGCUGGCAGUCAUGCUGAUAAUCUAGGUUACCAAUGUGGUGGAUGGACAAUGGAAUGGCAAGGAUUCAGUGGCAACAACUAUACAAGAGGUAGGGUCUUCUUUCAUGGUUAUAUUUGUUAAUAUUUAACUUUCUGUCUAUAUGCAGUACUUUUGUGUUCCACAAUGAAUGACAGAAAUUGCUGUCUGUAAAAACAGAGCAUUGAGUACUUACUGAGAAGAUUAUGAAAUUGCUUGUUAGGUGUAAAAUGUAGAAACAUUGUCUCCAUAAUUAUGAGAAUGAACAGGAAAUAUGUAGCCAUGUGUACGUGCAUGCAUAUGAUUUUCUGAUUGUUACUUUGAAUGUACCAAAUCUUUGUUGCAUACUUUUAAUGAAAAAACAUUACAGUUGGGGUGAUUUAGCUAGUCCAGUCCUUGAUGAUUCCUAAUGACAAGCAUGAGCAUGAUAUGGAUGCAGAUUAAAAGCUACUAAAGUAAAAAAAAUAUUUCAAUUUCCUGAACUUCUCUUCGAAUAUUAUCUUGUGCAAUGAGAUUUAGUCUAAAUUUCUUUAGAUUAUGUGCAAAUAUCCUUCAAGCACAUUUUUCUUUAAGAAUUUUGAAUUCCAGGAAACUACUUUAGCAAUAAUAGUGACGAAAGUAUUUUUCAUGAGUAGGAACCACAAUCCUCAGUGCCAUAAAAUCAACAGUUGAUUCGAGCACAGAAAUUAUCUACCGUGAGAAUCCUGAUGGAAAUUUUGUAAAGUCCAACAACUUUGCAUAUGCCAUUGUUGUUGUUGGCGAGCACCCUUAUGCUGAGACUUCAGGAGACAGCAUGAACCUAACGAUGGCAGAGCCUGGCCCAAGUGUCAUCAGCAAUGUGUGUGAAAGUGUCAAGUGCAUUGUUAUCAUAAUUUCUGGCAGACCUAUUGUAAUUGAACCAUAUAUUUCCUCAAUUGAUGCCCUGGUGGCAGCAUGGUUGCCAGGCACUGAAGGCCAAGGUAUUACCGAUGUCCUUUUUGGGGAUCAUGGGUUCAGUGGAAAACUUCCAAGAACAUGGUUCAGAACUGUAGAUCAACUCCCAAUGAAUUUUGGGGAUACACACUAUGAUCCACUUUUCCCUUUAGGUUUUGGAAUCGAAACUGAGUCAAUCAAGGAGCUUGUAACAAGGUAAUUUUUCAUUUAUAUCAUGACCUCAUCUAUAUAAUCUUGUUACCCUCUUUUUUCUUUUCACUACUGUUUGAUGCAUUUCUUCCAUCAUGGUUUUUGCUUUCAGUCCAUCUUUCUCUUUCUUGCAUUUGAACGAAACCUGGACCAUGGGAAACUUUAAUGACAAAUUUAGGCCAUUAACUUUCAAUUAUAUUUCUGAUUAACUUUAUCUUUUGCAAUUUUCACGUUGGUUUGUAAUCAGUCUCUAAUGAGCUCGUACGUUAAAACUUCACUGAUAAAGAAAAGGAAAUGAAAUUUUUAUGAGGCACUUGUGGUGGCUUUAGGUUCAUUCUUCAUUACUACCUAUGUUUUAUAGCAUUUGUGCACGCCAGUUUAGAAGAAAUGAAAAAACUUUGGUUGGCUGUAAUGAUACUCAUUACAGUUUGAUAAUGUCUGUAGGUCGACGUCAGAUGGUGUCGUUGGAAGGCCAUGCAUACUUGUCCUUGUGCUUGCUCUAAUUCUCAGCUUAUAGUUUAAAGGUAUAGUUUUACCUAAACAAUAAUUGGGUUCUCUUUUUUCACGACUGCAUAAUUCUCUGCUGCACCUUAGCAUUUGUGUAUACAUUUUCUUUUGCUCAUAAGCUGUUUGUUGGCUCUUAAAUUUCAGGAAGGUUUUUAGUAUAUUUCCACAGCAUUGGAUUUGGUAGAAUGAGCACAGCCAAAGUACUAGAUAUUAUUAACCUCUGGUGCAUUGACAGCAGCAAUUGCCUCAUGUUCAUGUUCUUGUCAGUACUCUCAGUUGCUUAUAUUAGGCCCCCCAAAUCCUUCAAUGUCGAGCCAUAGCCGUCGGAUUCACAAUCUGCCUUUCCAAAGAUUUAUUUUGAUUGUAAUGACCUGCAAAGUAUUUUAUCUUUGCUCGCAUAAUUUCAUGGAGAAUAAAUCACAUACUACUUUGGAAUGGGGCUUCUGAUCAGCAAAUACAUUGUUAUUGACUCAACUCAAAACUCCAUGACUAAAGUAUUAAUUUGAGAAUGUUAAGGUUAUGGACAUUGCUGAUCAUAUAUGCUAAAUAUGAAGAAUCAGGUUCAG